UACGUAGGGUGCAAGCGUUGUCCGGAAUUAUUGGGCGUAAAGAGCUCGUAGGCGGUCUGUCGCGUCGGAUGUGAAAAUCCAGGGCUCAACCCUGGACCUGCAUUCGAUACGGGCAGACUAGAGUUCGGUAGGGGAGACUGGAAUUCCUGGUGUAGCGGUGAAAAUGCGCAGAUAUCAGGAGGAACACCGGUGGCGAAGGCGGGUCUCUGGGCCGAAACUGACGCUGAGGAGCGAAAGCGUGGGGAGCAAACAGG
rnacentral:rRNA from 1 species